rnacentral:rRNA from 1 species
GACGAACGCUGGCGGCGUGCUUAACACAUGCAAGUCGAGCGGUAAGGCCCUUUCGGGGGUACACGAGCGGCGAACGGGUGAGUAACACGUGGGUGACCUGCCCUCAGCUCUGGGAUAAGCCUGGGAAACUGGGUCUAAUACUGGAUAUGACUCCACGGUGCAUGUCGUGGGGUGGAAAGCCUUGUGCGGCUGAGGAUGGGCCCGCGGCCUAUCAGCUUGUUGGUGGGGUGANGGCCUACCAAGGCGACGACGGUAGCUGGCCUGAGAGGGCGACCGGCCACACUGGGACUGAGACACGGCCCAGACUCCUACGGGAGGCAGCAGUGGGGAAUCUUGCGCAAUGGGCGAAAGCCUGACGCAGCGACGCCGCGUGAGGGAUGACGGCCUGGU